rnacentral:tRNA from 1 species
UUAACUGAAACCAAAAAGAGGUAUAUCACUGUUAAUGAUAAAAUUGAGUAUAAUCCAGUUAAA